GGUGCUUAUGCCACCCGCCAGGAAUAUAUAUUUUCCCAUCUAAUAUAUUAUUUCCCGUGAGUUAUUUAUAAUUUUUAUUUCCCGUCAGGUGUUAGCCGUCAAAUUGAAAUACGUAUCUCCAACCAUAUAACAACAAACUAGAAUAAUAAAUAAUUCGCAUUAUUCAAAACUGCAUCGUACAUAAUAUAUAAGUCACAUUAUUAAAAAUCCAACAUUUGGAAUAGAGCUAUUCUUCGCCACGCUAAUAUUAAAACUACUACGCCCAUCUACGAAGAUCUUUGCAGUCGUCCGC
rnacentral:lncRNA from 1 species